rnacentral:rRNA from 1 species
GACGAACGCUGGCGGCGUGCUUAACACAUGCAAGUCGAACGGAAAGGCCUGCUUUCCCUUGUGGAUUGCGGGUACUCGAGUGGCGAACGGGUGAGUAACAAGUGAGUGAUCUGCCCCCAACUUGGGUAUAAGCCUGGGAAACUGGGUCUAAUUCCCGAUAGGACUGCAGGGUGGUGCCUGUGGUGGAAAACGAUUUUCUAGUGGUUGGGGAUGAGCUCGCGGCCUAUCAGCUUGUUGGUGGGGUAAUGGCCUACCAAGGCGGCGACGGGUAGCCGGCCUGAGAGGGUGGACGGCCACAUUGGGACUGAGAUACGGCCCAGACUCCUACGGGAGGCAGCAGUGGGGAAUAUUGCACAAUGGGCGGAAGCCUGAUGCAGCGACGCCGCGUGGGGGAUGACGGCCUUCGGGUUGUAAACUCCUUUCGACCGCGAGGAAGCCACCUGGUUGGAAGGGUGGUGACGGUAGUGGUAGAAGAAGCACCGGCUAACUACGUG